rnacentral:rRNA from 1 species
UACGUAGGGUGCAAGCGUUAAUCGGAAUUACUGGGCGUAAAGCGUGCGCAGGCGGUUUUGUAAGGCAGAUGUGAAAUCCCCGGGCUUAACCUGGGAACUGCGUUUGAAACUACAAGGCUAGAGUGUGGCAGAGGGGGGUGGAAUUCCACGUGUAGCAGUGAAAUGCGUAGAUAUCUGGAGGAACACCGGUGGCGAAGGCGGCAUCCUGGACCAACACUGACGCUGAGGAGCGAAAGCCAGGGGAGCAAACGGG